GUAGGUGAACCUGCGGAGGGAUCAUUACAGAGUUCUCGCCCUACCGGGUAGAUCUCCUACCUACUGUUAUUGCUACUGUCGUUGCUUUGGCGGGCCGCCGGCCCCGGCUGGCGCGCGCCUGCCAAAGGCCCCUAAACUCUGAAUGUCAGUGUCGUCUGAGUACUAUACAAUAGUUAAAACUUUUAAUAACGGAUCUCUUGGUUCUG
rnacentral:misc_RNA from 1 species